rnacentral:tRNA from 2 species
AGAAAAGACUUGGAGUGGAAUGAGGUUGCUAACUUUGUUUUGGGUGAUUCGAUUUUAUCCUUUUUCUU